rnacentral:rRNA from 1 species
AGGGAAAGCUGGGGGCAUGCCUAACACAUGCAAGUCGAACGGCAGCGCGGGGGCAACCCUGGCGGCGAGUGGCGGACGGGUGAGGAAUGCAUAGGAAUCUGCCCGGUUGUGGGGGAUAACGUAGGGAAACUUACGCUAAUACCGCAUACGACCUUCGGGUGAAAGUGGGGGACCUUCGGGCCUCACGCGAUCGGAUGAGCCUAUGCCCGAUUAGCUAGUUGGCGGGGUAAGAGCCCACCAAGGCGACGAUCGGUAGCUGGUCUGAGAGGAUGAUCAGCCACACUGGGACUGAGACACGGCCCAGACUCCUACGGGAGGCAGCAGUGGGGAAUAUUGGACAAUGGGCGCAAGCCUGAUCCAGCAAUGCCGCGUGUGUGAAGAAGGCCUUCGGGUUGUAAAGCACUUUUGUUCGGGAAGAAAUCCGUGUGGUUAAUACCCGUACGGGAUGACGGUACCGAAAGAAUAAGCACCGGCUAACUUCGUG